GAUUAGAGUUUGAUCCUGGCUCAGAUUGAACGCUGGCGGCAGGCCUAACACAUGCAAGUCGAGCGGUAGCACAGAGAGCUUGCUCUCGGGUGACGAGCGGCGGACGGGUGAGUAAUGUCUGGGAAACUGCCUGAUGGAGGGGGAUAACUACUGGAAACGGUAGCUAAUACCGCAUAACGUCGCAAGACCAAAGUGGGGGACCUUCGGGCCUCAUGCCAUCAGAUGUGCCCAGAUGGGAUUAGCUGGUAGGUGGGGUAACGGCUCACCUAGGCGACGAUCCCUAGCUGGUCUGAGAGGAUGACCAGCCACACUGGAACUGAGACACGGUCCAGACUCCUACGGGAGGCAGCAGUGGGGAAUAUUGCACAAUGGGCGCAAGCCUGAUGCAGCCAUGCCGCGUGUGUGAAGAAGGCCUUCGGGUUGUAAAGCACUUUCAGCGGGGAGGAAGGCGGUGAGGUUAAUAACCUCAUCGAUUGACGUUACCCGCAGAAGAAGCACCGGCUAACUCCGUGCCAGCAGCCGCGGUAAUACGGAGGGUGCAAGCGUUAAUCGGAAUUACUGGGCGUAAAGCGCACGCAGGCGGUCUGUCAAGUCGGAUGUGAAAUCCCCGGGCUCAACCUGGGAACUGCAUUCGAAACUGGCAGGCUAGAGUCUUGUAGAGGGGGGUAGAAUUCCAGGUGUAGCGGUGAAAUGCGUAGAGAUCUGGAGGAAUACCGGUGGCGAAGGCGGCCCCCUGGACAAAGACUGACGCUCAGGUGCGAAAGCGUGGGGAGCAAACAGGAUUAGAUACCCUGGUAGUCCACGCUGUAAACGAUGUCGAUUUGGAGGUUGUGCCCUUGAGGCGUGGCUUCCGGAGCUAACGCGUUAAAUCGACCGCCUGGGGAGUACGGCCGCAAGGUUAAAACUCAAAUGAAUUGACGGGGGCCCGCACAAGCGGUGGAGCAUGUGGUUUAAUUCGAUGCAACGCGAAGAACCUUACCUGGUCUUGACAUCCACAGAACUUUCCAGAGAUGGAUUGGUGCCUUCGGGAACUGUGAGACAGGUGCUGCAUGGCUGUCGUCAGCUCGUGUUGUGAAAUGUUGGGUUAAGUCCCGCAACGAGCGCAACCCUUAUCCUUUGUUGCCAGCGGUCCGGCCGGGAACUCAAAGGAGACUGCCAGUGAUAAACUGGAGGAAGGUGGGGAUGACGUCAAGUCAUCAUGGCCCUUACGACCAGGGCUACACACGUGCUACAAUGGCAUAUACAAAGAGAAGCGACCUCGCGAGAGCAAGCGGACCUCAUAAAGUAUGUCGUAGUCCGGAUUGGAGUCUGCAACUCGACUCCGUGAAGUCGGAAUCGCUAGUAAUCGUAGAUCAGAAUGCUACGGUGAAUACGUUCCCGGGCCUUGUACACACCGCCCGUCACACCAUGGGAGUGGGUUGCAAAAGAAGUAGGUAGCUUAACCUUCGGGAGGGCGCUUACCACUUUGUGAUUCAUGACUGGGGUGAAGUCGUAACAAGGUAACCGAAU
rnacentral:rRNA from 1 species